rnacentral:lncRNA from 1 species
CAAGACCCAUCCCCAGCAUCAUUUGUACCCACUUACACUCCUCCCUCUGUCCAGCUCCCUUAGUGCUGAUCUGACGCUCCUGUUUUGCCUUUGUAUCCCAGAAAAUCCCAGUCAUUUCUCUUCCCUUCUUCCCCCAGGGCCUCCUGUGAGACAUCUUGAGCAUCCCUUCUUAUAAAGGAGCCCGCCUGACUCAUCGCAUCGCCUUCCCACUGCUCCCUUCAUAUCAAUCUUUCUGGGCUUGGAGAUUAGGUGGACCCGAGAACUAUGAAUUUGCUUUGCUACCUGGUUUGCUUCAUGAAACUUUUUUCCUGGCCUUUCAAGGAAAGACUCAACAGAAGGAAGAGUGUCUCCCCAUCUCUCCCAUCCUCACAGCAUCAGCGUGGGCCUACGGUCAGCAGAUGUCUACACACCCAGUCAUGAGUGGAUGCCCGGCACACGUUUCCUUCAUUCAGCCUGCACAUUAUCUGGAAUUGCUUUGCCUUGAAAACUCUUAGACCUGAAAUCCUCUCUCUCACCAUAACUGCACAUUUUCUCAUCUUCUUUGCAAGACAUUAUGAACAAAAGACGUGGACAUAGAAAUAUCUUCUCUGCUUUCUGGAAAUGAUUUGUUGAGCGUCAGACAAGAGGAUGGAGUUGAAUCUUCUUAGACUCCAAGGUGGUCUAGGACUUUCUUGUUUUACACUUCAUUUCACUCUCUUUGAAUCUGAGAUCAUGAGCGAGGCCUGAGAGGAGGAGAGCGGCUCAUUAGAGAGUCUGGGAUAAGCUCAAGGAUGAAGCAUGUAGAGAAUGGUAAGAUCAGACGUGCAGCUUUCAAAGGUGCCCUGGCUGGCUGAGGAGGAGGAGCUCAGGCAGGACAGCUCUGGCAAGGAUCCUCGGACGGGGCCCAUGAGGGAAGUCAUCCUGACACCUCCUCUCUUUGCCACGGGACCUGGCCAUUCCUGUCUUUGUUUCUCUCUUCAAUCAAUCACUGCUAACACAGUUUGAGCUAUAAACCACCCAUCUCUGUGUUGAUGUGAUCAUUACUCCCCUCUCCAAACUUCCAGACAGAGGAAGCCGUGACGGCAC